AGCGAACGCUGGCGGCAGGCCUAACACAUGCAAGUCGAACGAACUCUUCGGAGUUAGUGGCGGACGGGUGAGUAACACGUGGGAACGUGCCUUAGGUUCGGAAUAACUCAGGGAAACUUGUGCUAAUACCGAAUGUGCCCUUCGGGGGAAAGAUUUAUCGCCUUUAGAGCGGCCCGCGUCUGAUUAGCUAGUUGGUGAGGUAAAGGCUCACCAAGGCGACGAUCAGUAGCUGGUCUGAGAGGAUGAUCAGCCACAUUGGGACUGAGACACGGCCCAAACUCCUACGGGAGGCAGCAGUGGGGAAUCUUGCGCAAUGGGCGAAAGCCUGACGCAGCCAUGCCGCGUGAAUGAUGAAGGUCUUAGGAUUGUAAAAUUCUUUCACCGGGGACGAUAAUGACGGUACCCGGAGAAGAAGCCCCGGCUAACUUCGUG
rnacentral:rRNA from 1 species